AGGACGAACGCUGGCGGCGUGCUUAACACAUGCAAGUCGAGCGAUGAAGCUUCUCGGAAGUGGAUUAGCGGCGGACGGGUGAGUAACACGUGGGUAACCUGCCUCAUAGAGGGGAAUAGCCUUUCGAAAGGAAGAUUAAUACCGCAUAAGAUUGUAGUACCGCAUGGUACAGCAAUUAAAGGAGUAAUCCGCUAUGAGAUGGACCCGCGUCGCAUUAGCUAGUUGGUGAGGUAACGGCUCACCAAGGCGACGAUGCGUAGCCGACCUGAGAGGGUGAUCGGCCACAUUGGGACUGAGACACGGCCCAGACUCCUACGGGAGGCAGCAGUGGGGAAUAUUGCACAAUGGGGGAAACCCUGAUGCCAGCAACGCCGCGUGAGUGAUGACGGCCUUCGGGUUGUAAAACUCUGUCUUUGGGGACGAUAAUGACGGUACCCAAGGAGGAAGCCACGGCUAACUACGUGCCAGCAGCAGC
rnacentral:rRNA from 1 species